GAACGGUCUGGAAAGUCCGACGAUACAGGGUGAUAGUCCCGUAGUUGACGAUGCAUGUUCAGUGAAAUCGAGUAGGGCGGGACACGUGUUAUCCUGUCUGAAUAUGGGGGGACCAUCCUCCAAGGCUAAAUACUCCUGACUGACCGAUAGUGAACCAGUACCGUGAGGGAAAGGCGAAAAGAACCCCUGUGAGGGGAGUGAAAUAGAACCUGAAACCGUGUACGUACAAGCAGUAGGAGCACCUUCGUGGUGUGACUGCGUACCUUUUGUAUAAUGGGUCAGCGACUUAUAUUCAGUGGCAAGGUUAACCAUCUAGGGGAGCCGUAGGGAAACCGAGUCUUAACUGGGCGCCAUAGUCUCUGGAUAUAGACCCGAAACCGAGUGAUCUAGCCAUGGGCAGGUUGAAGGUUGAGUAACAUCAACUGGAGGACCGAACCGACUAAUGUUGAAAAAUUAGCGGAUGACUUGUGGCUAGGGGUGAAAGGCCAAUCAAACUCGGAGAUAGCUGGUUCUCCCCGAAAGCUAUUUAGGUAGCGCCUCGGACGAAUACUACUGGGGGUAGAGCACUGUUAAGGCUAGGGGGUCAUCCCGACUUACCAACCCUUUGCAAACUCCGAAUACCAGUAAGUACUAUCCGGGAGACACACGGCGGGUGCUAACGUCCGUCGUGGAGAGGGAAACAACCCAGACCGCCAGCUAAGGUCCCAAAUUACAGCUAAGUGGGAAACGAUGUGGGAAGGCUUAGACAGCUAGGAUGUUGGCUUAGAAGCAGCCAUCAUUUAAAGAAAGCGUAAUAGCUCACUAGUCGAGUCGGCCUGCGCGGAAGAUGUAACGGGGCUAAGUUGUAAACCGAAGCUGCGGCAAUGUUCUAUGAACAUUGGGUAGGGGAGCGUUCUGUAAGCCGUUGAAGGUGUGUUGUAAAGCAUGCUGGAGGUAUCAGAAGUGCGAAUGCUGACAUGAGUAACGACAAGGGGGGUGAAAAACCUCCCCGCCGGAAGACCAAGGGUUCCUGUCCAACGUUAAUCGGGGCAGGGUAAGUCGACCCCUAAGGCGAGGCUGAAAAGCGUAGUCGAUGGGAAACGGGUUAAUAUUCCCGUACUUCUUACAAUUGCGAUGGGGGGACGGAGAAGGCUAGGUGGGCCUGGCGACGGUUGUCCAGGUUCAAGUGCGUAGGCUGAGUGUUUAGGUAAAUCCGGAUACUCUUAAGGCUGAGACACGACGUCGAGCUACUACGGUAGUGAAGUCAUUGAUGCCAUGCUUCCAGGAAAAGCCUCUAAGCUUCAGAUUGUAAGGAAUCGUACCCCAAACCGACACAGGUGGUCGGGUAGAGAAUACCAAGGCGCUUGAGAGAACUCGGGUGAAGGAACUAGGCAAAAUGGUACCGUAACUUCGGGAGAAGGUACGCUCUUGAUGGUGAAGUCCCUUGCGGAUGGAGCUGACGAGAGUCGCAGAUACCAGGUGGCUGCAACUGUUUAUUAAAAACACAGCACUGUGCAAAAUCGUAAGAUGACGUAUACGGUGUGACGCCUGCCCGGUGCCGGAAGGUUAAUUGAUGGGGUUAGCG
rnacentral:rRNA from 1 species